UGAACGCUAGCGGCAGGCCUAACACAUGCAAGUCGAGGGGUAACAGAGAGAAGCUUGCUUUUCUGCUGACGACCGGCGCACGGGUGCGUAACGCGUAUACAAUCUGCCUUAUACAGAGGGAUAGCCUUUAGAAAUGAAGAUUAAUACCUUAUAGUCUAUUUUUAUAGCAUUAUAUAAAUAGUAAAGCUUCGGUGGUAUAAGAUGAGUAUGCGUCCUAUUAGUUAGUUGGUAAGGUAACGGCUUACCAAGACAACGAUAGGUAGGGGCCCUGAGAGGGGGAUCCCCCACACUGGUACUGAGACACGGACCAGACUCCUACGGGAGGCAGCAGUGAGGAAUAUUGGACAAUGGAGGCAACUCUGAUCCAGCCAUGCCGCGUGCAGGAUGACGGCCCUAUGGGUUGUAAACUGCUUUUAUAUAGGAAGAAACCUUUUCACGUGUGAGAAGCUGACGGUACUAUAAGAAUAAGGACCGG
rnacentral:rRNA from 1 species